rnacentral:snoRNA from 1 species
CCACUAAAUCAUGAUGAUAUUAUCACUUAUUUGCUUGCAGGUCUCAGCCACGAGUAUGAUAGUCUUGUGGCUUCCAUCUCAGCAUGCACUGAUGACAUUACACUGGAAGAGAUCUACUCCUUGCUACUGACUUUUGAGG